rnacentral:rRNA from 1 species
CCUACGGGAGGCAGCAGUGGGGAAUAUUGCACAAUGGGGGAAACCCUGAUGCAGCGACGCCGCGUGAGUGAAGAAGUAAUUCGUUAUGUAAAGCUCUAUCAGCAGGGAAGAAAAUGACGGUACCUGAGUAAGAAGCCCCGGCUAACUACGUGCCAGCAGCCGCGGUAAUACGUAGGGGGCAAGCGUUAUCCGGAUUUACUGGGUGUAAAGGGAGCGUAGACGGCAGUGCAAGUCUGGAGUGAAAGGCGGGGGCUCAACCCCCGGACUGCUCUGGAAACUGUACGGCUGGAGUGCAGGAGAGGUAAGUGGAAUUCCUGGGGUAGCGGUGAAAUGCGGAGAUAUUAGGAGGAACACCAGGGGCGAAGGCGGCUUACUGGACUGUAACGGACGUUGAGGCUCGAAAGCGUGGGGAGCAAACAGGAUUAGAUACCCGUGUAGUC